UUGGCUGAUUCGCCGACGCCUCGGACGGAACCGUUCCUCGGGCGGGAUUUGUGUGCGCGCCGGCGGGUUCCCCUGCCGAAGCAAAGCGCGGAUUCUCGAUCGAAGGCACGGGACGGGAGGCGGCCGCCGGAGCGGCCCACGCUCGGUAAUGAUCCUUCCGCAGGUUCACCUACGGAAA
rnacentral:misc_RNA from 1 species